rnacentral:lncRNA from 1 species
CAUUUAAGGAAUGACUGUAAUAUUUUUUCUGUCUAUGAAGAAAUAACAUAAAAAAUAUUACAGUCAUUUCUUAUAAUUUAAUUCUAAAUUCCAUUUUAAACCGUAGAAAACCAUGAAAAAACGUUGAUGACGUCACGGUCACAUGACUAAAUUAUGUCUAUGGGCUCAUAACAAAAUAACAUCAGCCAAUCAGAAGACGUGUUACAUCCAAAAUUAAAUUAUAUAUUGAU